GGGUGAGAUCAUACCAGCACUAAUGCACCGGAUCCCAUCAGAACUCCACAAUUAAGCGUUCUUGGCCGAGAGUAGUACUAGGAUGGGUGACCUCCUACAAAUUCCUCGUGUUGCACCCC
rnacentral:rRNA from 1 species